AAUGCACAGAUGCAGGUUAUGGGGU
rnacentral:misc_RNA from 1 species